rnacentral:misc_RNA from 1 species
AAGUGAGGGAAAACAAGUUAGUUUAAAGGACUUGGAGUAUAUUCACAUCAACAAGACCUCGAAGCUUUUAGAAGCAGCAGUUGUUUGCGGGGCGAUACUUGGAGGGGCAGAUGAUGAAAGCACAGAAAGAGUUAGAAAAUAUGCGAGGUGUAUAGGGUUGUUAUUCCAAGUUGUGGACGACAUAUUGGAUGUCACAAAGUCAUCGGAGGAGCUCGGAAAGACGGCCGGCAAGGAUCUGAUAAGUGACAAAGCAACAUAUCCAAAGCUGAUGGGAAU